AUCCAGCUGACGAAUCCCAAACAGGACAAAACGAACUUUGUCGUGGAU
rnacentral:hammerhead_ribozyme from 1 species